rnacentral:tRNA from 1 species
GGCGAGGUAGUUUAAUGAAAAUGUCAUUUUGCAAGAAUGAUGAUACCUAGAAAGUCUUCGCUU